GGGCCUGCGGGGAUGGCUCAGCAGU
rnacentral:misc_RNA from 1 species